UACAGAGGAGCCAAGCGUUGUCCGGAUUGACUGGGCGUAAAGCGCACGCAGGCGGAUGCGCGCGUGGGGUGUGAAAUCUGGCCGCUUAACGGCCAGGCGCCAUCCCAUACGGCGCGUCUGGAGUGAUGCAGAGGUCGGUGGAAUUGCCGGUGUAGUGGUGAAAUGCGUAGAGAUCGGCAGGAACACCCUGGGGGAAACCAGCCGACUGGGCAUCUACUGACGCUGAGGUGCGAGAGCGUGGGGAGCGAACCGG
rnacentral:rRNA from 1 species